rnacentral:rRNA from 1 species
AUUGAACGCUGGCGGCGUGCCUAACACAUGCAAGUCGAGCGAGCGGCGGACGGGUGAGCAAUGUAUGGGGAUGUGCCCAAUCGAGGGGGAUAACUACUGGAAACGGUGGCUAAUACCGCUUACUACCGGUUGAACCCAUAUGGGAUUAGCGAGUAGGGGGGGUAAAGGCUCACCUAGGCGACGAUCUCUAGCUGGUCUGAGAGGAUGAUCAGCCACACUGGGACUGAGACACGGCCCAGACUCCUACGGGAGGCAGCAGUGGGGAAUAUUGGACAAUGGGCGCAAGCCUGAUGCAGCCAUGCCGCGUGUAUGAAGAAGGCCUUAGGGUUGUAAAGUACUUUCAGCGGGGAGGCGUUACCCGCAGAAGAAGCCCCGGCUAACUCCGUGCCAGCAGCCGCGGUAAUAC